rnacentral:rRNA from 1 species
AUUGAACGCUGGCGGCAGGCUUAACACAUGCAAGUCGAGCGAGCGGCGGACGGGUGAGUAAUGUCUGGGAAACUGCCUGAUGGAGGGGGAUAACUCCUGGAAACGGUAGCUAAUACCGCAUACCAUCGGAUGUGCCCAGAUGGGAUUAGCUAGUAGGUGGGGUAAUGGCUCACCUAGGCGACGAUCCCUAGCUGGUCUGAGAGGAUGACCCGCCACACUGGAACGGAGACACGGUCCAGACUCCUACGGGAGGCAGCAGUGGGUAAUAUUGCACAAUGGGCGAAAGCCUGAUGCAGCAAUGCCGCGUGUGUGAAGAAGGCCUUCGGGUUGUAAAGUACUUUCAGCGAGGAGGCGUUACGCGCAGAAGAAGCACCGGCUAACUCCGUGCCAGCAGCCGCGGUAAUUC